rnacentral:rRNA from 1 species
GACACGGUCCAAACUCCUACGGGAGGCAGCAGUGAGGAAUAUUGGUCAAUGGACGAGAGUCUGAACCAGCCAAGUAGCGUGAAGGAUGACUGCCCUAUGGGUUGUAAACUUCUUUUAUAAGGGAAUAAAGUGAGGGACGUGUCCCUUUUUGUAUGUACCUUAUGAAUAAGGAUCGGCUAACUCCGUGCCAGCAGCCGCGGUAAUACGGAGGAUCCAAGCGUUAUCCGGAUUUAUUGGGUUUAAAGGGAGCGUAGGUUGACAUAUAAGUCAGCUGUGAAAGUUUACGGCUCAACCGUGAAAUUGCAGUUGAUACUGUAUGUCUUGAGUGUACAAGAGGUGGGCGGAAUUCGUGGUGUAGCGGUGAAAUGCUUAGAUAUCACGAAGAACUCCAAUUGCGAAGGCAGCUCACUGGGGUACAACUGACACUGAGGCUCGAAAGUGUGGGUAUCAAACAGGAUUAGAUACCCUGGUAGUCCACACAGUAAACGAUGAAUACUCGCUGUUUGCGAUAUACAGUAAGCGGCCAAGCGAAAGCAUUAAGUAUUCCACCUGGGGAGUACGCCGGCAACGGUGAAACUCAAAGGAAUUGACGGGGGCCCGCACAAGCGGAGGAACAUGUGGUUUAAUUCGAUGAUACGCGAGGAACCUUACCCGGGCUUGAAAUGCAGAUGAUCGAAGUGGAAACACUUUUUCCAGCGAUGGCGUCUGUGUAGGUGCUGCAUGGUUGUCGUCAGCUCGUGCCGUGAGGUGUCGGCUUAAGUGCCAUAACGAGCGCAACCCUUGUCGUUAGUUGCCAUCAGGUUAUGCUGGGAACUCUAGCGGGACUGCCACCGUAAGGUGUGAGGAAGGUGGGGAUGACGUCAAAUCAGCACGGCCCUUACGUCCGGGGCUACACACGUGUUACAAUGGGGGGUACAGAGGGCAGCUACCGGGCGACCGGAUGCCAAUCCCAAAAACCUCUCUCAGUUCGGAUCGAAGUCUGCAACCCGACUUCGUGAAGCUGGAUUCGCUAGUAAUCGCGCAUCAGCCACGGCGCGGUGAA